rnacentral:sRNA from 1 species
CAUAUGCAGAAUCAGAGUGACUCAGGCCCUAUAGACCUCACAGUGAACAUACUCACAAUGGGCUACUGGCCAACGUACACGCCCAUGGAAGUGCACUUAACCCCAGAAAUGAUUAAACUUCAGGAAGUAUUUAAGGCAUUUUAUCUUGGAAAGCACAGUGGUCGAAAACUUCAAUGGCAAACUACUUUGGGACAUGCUGUUUUAAAAGCAGAGUUUAAAGAAGGGAAGAAGGAAUUCCAGGUGUCCCUCUUCCAGACACUGGUGCUCCUCAUGUUCAACGAGGGAGAUGGCUUCAGCUUUGAGGAGAUAAAAAUGGCCACGGGGAUAGAGGAUAGUGAAUUGCGCAGAACGCUGCAGUCGCUGGCCUGUGGCAAAGCACGUGUGCUGAUUAAAAGUCCCAAAGGAAAGGAAGUGGAAGAUGGAGACAAGUUCAUUUUUAAUGGAGAGUUCAAGCACAAGUUGUUUAGAAUAAAGAUCAAUCAGAUUCAGAUGAAGGAAACUCCUGGAGAUUUGAAAAAGAGGAUUGAAUCUCUGAUAGACAGAGACUAUAUGGAGAGAGACAAAGAGAAUCCGA